GAUGAACGCUGGCGGCGUGCCUAGUACAUGCAAGUCGAGCGCGACUGAUUACACCGUUCUUCGGAACACCGUAAUCAUCGAGCGGCGGACGGGUGAGUAACACGUGGGCAACCUACCCUUAAGACUGGGAUAACCGCGGGAAACCGUGGCUAAUACCGGAUAAUACUUUUAUACAACGGUAUAGAAGUUGAAAGGUGGAUUUCUAUCACUUAAGGAUGGGCCUGCGGCGCAUUAGCUGGUUGGUAAGGUAACGGCUUACCAAGGCGACGAUGCGUAGCCGACCUGAGAGGGUGAUCGGCCACACUGGAACUGAGACACGGUCCAGACUCCUACGGGAGGCAGCAGUAGGGAAUCUUCCGCAAUGGGCGAAAGCCUGACGGAGCAACGCCGCGUGUGCGAAGAAGGUCUUCGGAUCGUAAAGCACUGUUGUUAAGGAAGAACGACAGUAAGAGUAACUGUUUACUGUGUGACGGUACUUAACCAGAAAGCCACGGCUAACUACGUG
rnacentral:rRNA from 1 species